rnacentral:misc_RNA from 1 species
ACUUGUGAAAUCACUCCGUCGCGAAGGAUGAUUUUGGGUUGGAUUGAACUGCAGAUUAGUGACUUUAUUUCUUAUUGAAGCUUGAUAAUUUAGGUAAAUUUACUCCAUCAAGAGGUAGGUUAGCAUUGAGUAAUUUCAGCUAAGCUAACCAUCUCUAGAAAUCUGAAGAGCCCCUCAAAAUUAUAUGAACAAUUCUUGCAUUUAGGGCUUUGGUUCAAUGGUAAGGUCAGA